AUACUUACCUGGCAGGGGAGAUACCAUGAUCAUGAAGGUGGUUUCCCCAAGGUGAGCCUCAUCCAUUGCACUCAAGAUAUGCUGACCCCUGUGAUUUUUCCAAAUAUGGGAAACUCAACCACAUAAUUUGUGGUAGUGGGGGCUGCAUUCAUUCUCUCCCCUG